rnacentral:rRNA from 1 species
CAGUAGCCGCGGUAAUGCGGAGGGUGCAAGCGUUAAUCGGAAUUACUGGGCGUAAAGCGCACGCAGGCGGUUUGUUAAGUCAGAUGUGAAAUCCCCGAGCUUAACUUGGGAACUGCAUUUGAAACUGGCAAGCUAGAGUCUUGUAGAGGGGGGUAGAAUUCCAGGUGUAGCGGUGAAAUGCGUAGAGAUCUGGAGGAAUACCGGUGGCGAAGGCGGCCCCCUGGACAAAGACUGACGCUCAGGUGCGAAAGCGUGGGGAGCAAACAGGAUUAGAUACCCGCGUAGUCCCUGUCUCUUAUAC